rnacentral:rRNA from 1 species
GGAAUAUUGCACAAUGGGCGCAAGCCUGAUGCAGCGACGCCGCGUGGGUGAAGACGGAUUUCGGUCUGUAAAGCCCUUUUCUGUGUGACGAGAGUGGACGGUAGCACAGGAAUAAGUCUCGGCUAACUACGUUCCAGCAGCCGCGGUAAAACGUAGGAGGCAAGCGUUAUCCGGAGUUACUGGGCGUAAAGCGCGUGCAGGUGGUCGAGUAAGGUGGUUAUGAAAGCUCCUGGCUAAACUGGGAGAGGUUGACCAAAACUGUUCGACUAGAGUGGAUGAGAGGUAAACGGAAUUCCUUGUGUAGUGGUGAAAUGCGUAGAUAUGAGGAAGAACACCAGUGGCGAAGGCGGUUUACUGGCAUCCAACUGACACUCAGACGCGAAAGCAUGGGUAGCG